AAAGAGCUAAACCCAAGUCCAGCACCAACUGAUAAUCGCCGAGGAUCGACAAGGGAGUUGUAGUGAUUUCCAUGAUGAUAACUGAGACGGAUAGGAGGGGUAUCUGAGUUAUAACUUCCAUGGAACGUGUUCAUUGGUUCAAUGCUAUAAGAAUAUAUAUGGAUAGGGCGAUUAUACAUUUCAGAUAAUGCUUGGAUCUCCACGUUGUUGCCGUAGACCUUGUCUCUCCUUUUCCUCUUGCAAUAGGAUGUGAAUCCUUCAGUUAUAAACUGGGAGAAGUGGUCCCUUUCGCGCUCCAUGUAGUCGAUGCACAUCUGCCUGACCAAAUCAUAAGCUUCAGAAUCACCAUAUACUUGGUCAGCAACAGCACGGAAAAGGCAAUUCCCAUCUUCCAACAUUUUCUUAACUUCUAAGCCUUUGGAUCUUCUGACAUCAAUUUCAAACUGGUGCUCUCUCUCCACAUCAUUGCGUGAGGAUCCAAAGUUGGGACUCUGCUCAUCUGCGCUAUUAUAACCUUCACUUUCGCUGUGUGACCGUGGAGACGAUGGCCUAGAUCCAGUAGGUGAAGUCCUAGUUGACACAUUGGUCUGCCCAACAAAUUCCCUAGAUGAUCCUAUCCGUACUGCAUUUGAACUACCUAAUGAAAAUUUCCUUGGUCUAGGGUUAAGUGAAGCAGGUUUAGGAGGUGGGACAGGAGGUGGAGGGGGAGGUGGACAAUAACUACCUUUAGGCUCCAGCAGAGAAGUACCUUCAUUUUCCACUACCUCAACUCUUAAACCACUAGAUGCUUUUAUGGAGUCCCCACAGACAAAAGCAUCAUCACUAACCUUCUCAUUGUCAACAAUCUUUUCUUCAAGGAGGCUUCGGUCACAGCUAAAACUUUCUACUGAAGCAUCAUCACCAUCACCUUUCUGAUUGAAGGAACCAACUGAAACAUCAUCCAAGACAAUUGUUUCUGG
rnacentral:misc_RNA from 1 species